UCCCAGGUGGCUCAGUGGUAAAGAAUCUGCCUGCCAAAGCAGGAGACAGGGGUUUGAUCCCUCUGUUGGGAA
rnacentral:tRNA from 1 species